UGAAAAUGCGUAAAUUUGUUCAAAUUAAGUUAGUUCUAAAAAUUAAUAAUAGAUAGCGCCGUGCCGUCUCCUACAUCGCACAAGCGCUUACUCAAACGUGUUUCUAUAUGAGUCGACACAGACAGACAG